GAACGGUUGGCUCAGUUGAAAGAGCGCUCACUCGGGAUGCGAGAGGUCGCGGGUUCAAGUCCCGCAUCGUUCA